rnacentral:rRNA from 1 species
AUGAACGCUGGCGGCGUGCCUAAUACCUGCAAGUCGAGCGAACAGACGAGGAGCUUGCUCCUCUGACGUUAGCGGCGGACGGGUGAGUAACACGUGGAUAACCUACCUAUAAGACUGGGAUAACUUCGGGAAACCGGGGCUAAUACCGGAUAAUAUAUUGAACCGCAUGGUUCAAUAGUGAAAGACGGUUUUGCUGUCACUUAUAGAUGGAUCCGCGCCGCAUUAGCUAGUUGGUAAGGUAACGGCUUACCAAGGCAACGAUGCGUAGCCGACCUGAGAGGGUGAUCGGCCACACUGGAACUGAGACACGGUCCAGACUCCUACGGGAGGCAGCAGUAGGGAAUCUUCCGCAAUGGGCGAAAGCCUGACGGAGCAACGCCGCGUGAGUGAUGAAGGUCUUCGGAUCGUAAAACUCUGUUAUUAGGGAAGAACAAAUGUGUAAGUAACUAUGCACGUCUUGACGGUACCUAAUCAGAAAGCCACGGCUAACUACGUG